GCGCAUGCGCUGUGUCAAGUCUCGACAACAUGCGUUAGCUUUGGCAAAGGAUGCACCGCUGCACUUAGGGCUGGGCACUCGUAGGUGUCUGUCCGCGCCUUUCCCACCGGGCUCAGUGUCUGCAAACUGCCCACGUAACCAACAGACAUGGCCGAUGAAGGACAAACGCCACGAUAUUCCUCUGCGUCUAGCGGCAGCAACCAAGUAGUUCAGGAAACAAACGAGGCAAGCUCGACUCAGGACAAUGCCAGUUCCGACAAGGAAUGGACUGACAUGCUGAACGAUUUGUACGAGAAGAUCAUUGGCAGCCCUCAAAUUGCGCCGUUACCUGUUCGUACCAACAAUUUCCCAUUGAACACGGCUCAC
rnacentral:lncRNA from 1 species